ACACCAAUGGCGAAGGCAGGUCUCUGGGCCGUUACUGACGCUGAGGAGCGAAAGCGUGGGGAGCGAACAGGAUUAGAUACCCUGGUAGUCCACGCCGUAAACGGUGGAUGCUGGAUGUGGGGCCCGUUCCACGGGUUCCGUGUCGGAGCUAACGCGUUAAGCAUCCCGCCUGGGGAGUACGGCCGCAAGGCUAAAACUCAAAGAAAUUGACGGGGGCCCGCACAAGCGGCGGAGCAUGCGGAUUAAUUCGAUGCAACGCGAAGAACCUUACCUGGGCUUGACAUGUUCCCGACCGCUCCAGAGAUGGGGCUUCCCUUCGGGGCGGGUUCACAGGUGGUGCAUGGUCGUCGUCAGCUCGUGUCGUGAGAUGUUGGGUUAAGUCCCGCAACGAGCGCAACCCUCGCCCUGUGUUGCCAGCGCGUCAUGGCGGGAACUCACGGGGGACCGCCGGGGUCAACUCGGAGGAAGGUGGGGAUGACGUCAGAUCAUCAUGCCCCUUACGUCCAGGGCUUCACGCAUGCUACAAUGGCCGGUACAACGGGAUGCGACAUGGCGACAUGGAGCGGAUCCCUGAAAACCGGUCUCAGUUCGGAUUGGAGUCUGCAACCCGACUCCAUGAAGGCGGAGUCGCUAGUAAUCGCGGAUCAGCAACGCCGCGGUGAAUGCGUUCCCGGGCCUUGUACACACCGCCCGUCAAGUCAUGAAAGUGGGUAGCACCCGAAGCCGGUGGCCUAACCCCUUGCGGGAUGGAGCCGUCUAAGGUGAGACUCGUGAUUGGGACUAAGUCGUAACAAGGUAGCCGUACCGGAAGGUGCGGCUGGAUCACCU
rnacentral:rRNA from 1 species